CAGCGCCUCUGUCUCUCUUCACGUUUCUCUCUCCCUCUGCCUCUCCCUCUCCCUCUCCCUCUCCGCUGCUCCUCUCCCCCUCUCUCACCGCCGCUCACCAGCCGCUCCUCCUCGCCGUCGCGGGCUACCGGAGCACCGAUUCACCUAGAUUUGUCCUAUUUUCUCUCUCUAAACUCCAUAGCCAAUCCUGAAAUUCAGAUCUACACGACACUACCCAUUUCAAAUCUUCCAUUGAACUGAGCUUCAAUGGCGAAUCUCGUGGUUCUGGUGGUGGUGAUUUUGGGUCUGAUCAAUCGUGGGUAUUGCCAAGAAACGGCUCAAGAAGCUCCAUGGAGAAUCCACACGUUGUUCUUCUCUGCGGAGUGCAACAACUACUUGUUCAGAAAAGAAGGAAUAAAGCAUAUCUGAUAUCAUGCCUACCAGGUUCAGUUCAUUGACUGAAGUAGAAGAAUAUUUAUUGAUUUUAGACUUGAGGCGAGGUUUAUCUGUCUAGUGAAAAGAAGGCCUCACAAUGGAUGCUCAAGCCAGAAAGAAGGCCUUGUAUCGUGCUAAACUGAAUACAAAUAAGCUGGAGAAGCGCAUAGAAUCUCCUCUUGUGAGGAAAUUUCUGCCCUGAGAUGGAACCGUUCUGGAGAAAAGAUUCCUUGAUAGAUAAAAAUGAAAUUUGCUUGUGUUUAAUUCUAGUGACUUGAAGAACCAAUUUAUGUUGUGAAUGCACAACUGUCCAAAGUAAAAGAGAGAUUUGUGCUGGGAAUACAACUUACGAUCACGAGUUUGUUGGUUUGGAUAGUAUAUGUAUUUGUUGGAUUAUACUAUAUUUAUGGAUUUUUAUUUUGUUGAUAUGUACGGUUAAUAGUUAAGUUUUGUAUGUGGUUGAAAAUUGAAUGGUACAAGUUGUGAAGAAAUAUUUUUAUUGAA